GUGGAGGUGGCGGGGGCAGGGAUGGGGCCAGCAGGGCAGUGAACAGCUGAGCCGAGGCCAGCUGCCAGCACCUGGUGGCAGGUGCAGGUGUGACACCUGCAGGGCGGGCACGGGUCUCCAGGCGACAAGGUGACACCUGCAACUCCCUGCGGGCACCCAGGAACAGGUCAGUUCCGGAGAGGUUGGCCGUGAAGCAUGGGGCUGGCGCUGCUGUCUGUGGCCCUGCUGGCCCUGCUGGCCCUGCUGGCGUGGCCUGCGCAGGCCGUGGCUGCUCAGGAUCCCGACGUGCUCUGUGGAGCAAUUCUCCUAGUUCUGUGGUGGAGAGAAGCAGAAUACAGAAAACUUUCCCCGCGGGCGAAGGAAGCAACCCUGCCUGCCCUCAUUCUCGGAGUCUUGUUAACAAUAAAAUGCACGCCAUCAGCAUUCUUGGCACUUUCCCCUCAAUCCUGGUCCUUUGCUGCCAGUGACUGUUGGUGGAGCAGACGGCUGGGGACGUGCUUCUUCUCCUGGGGCCCCGGGACCGGUGACCUUCCUUCUGAAGCCCUUCCAUGGAUGCAGGUUGCUCUGGGCAGGCUCUGCGGGGAGGCCAGGAGCAGUGAAAGCUGAAGAAGUUAGACUUCUGUGUCCAGCAUUUAUAUCAUGCCCACGACGUUUGGCCCGGUUUGCCUGCCUCGGACCUGUCACAGCCUAUGAGCUGCAGGGCCGCCAACCUAUCAAUGGUCCCCCAGCACCUGCCACAGAGAAAACAUGCAAACAGGUGGACGCAACCAUGUUCAAAUAAAGCUUUAUUUUUUUAAAGAUUUUAUUUAUUU
rnacentral:lncRNA from 12 species